GCCGCGAUAGCUCAGUCGGUAGAGCGCCGGAUUGAAGAUCCGGGCGUCGAAGGUUCGAUCCCUUCUUGCGGCA
rnacentral:tRNA from 1 species